rnacentral:rRNA from 1 species
ACGCUCGACACCUACGGGAGGCAGCAGUGGGGAAUAUUGCACAAGUGGGGGAAACCCUGAUGCAGCGACGCCGCGUGGAGGAAGAAGGUCUUCGGAUUGUAAACUCCUGUUGUUGGGAAAAGAGGAUGGUACCCAACAAGGAAGUGACGGCUAACUACGUGCCAGUAGCCGCGGUAAUCUGAGCGGGCUGGCAAGGC